UCUUCCCUGCGCUGUUGGUGAUCAGCGAAGUAUUGAGCCAAACACUCAUACAAAGGGCGGCUCCAAUGCUAUUUAAUAGGAAUCUUCAUUGAUUCCCUGCGGAUAGCAAGACCUGCCCACCUAAUUUUCAUUAGGUUUAAUCAUUUCGCUGACACGGCAGGGUGGGGAUUUU
rnacentral:other from 1 species